rnacentral:lncRNA from 1 species
GCUAACGAGCCCACAGCCCUACGCGGCGGGAGGGAGCCAGUUGUCGGGCGGGGCGACAGCGGUCACACAGCAUUAGCCCUGCGGCCGCCCCGCCAGGUGCGGCCACUGCCCCUAAUCCCUGGCCCGCCCUGCUAAGCCCGGCCUGAGCAAUGCCACAGCUGGGGGCGGCCGGCCACGCGCCGCCCCUCACCGCAGCCCAGCUUUCCCCACCCCACCCCAACCCCUGGCGUGUGCCCUGAACCCCAAUCGAUCUCCAGCCCUGCAUAGCAAUCCAGCCCAGCUGGUCAUUGACCCUGUGCCCCCAACCUGGACUCUAAGCAUCUCCAUGGCUCCCCGCAAUGCCUCUCCUCUUGGUUCACCUGCCUCUGCUAUUGUUGGGAAGCUUGCUCUCCAAGAUAGAGCCUUCAUAGAUCUCAGCUACGGAUAGACACAGAGCUGCGAAUGCCCUUGAACUUGUGAUCCUUCAACAUCCACCUGAGGUGUUCAACUUACAGGGUUUGGGAGUACAGACCAUCAUGAAGGAGGAAGCAGGUUUCAGGAGCAGCAGCAGGGCUCUGAAGGACACAAGGUGGCUUCCAGAGCACAGAUGAAGAUGUUGGCUGGGUUGGGGCUCAUCUCAAGGCCUGACUGGGGAGAAGCCACACCCAUCUUACUCCAUCUUACUGGGAGCCUCAGUUUCUUGUCAUGUGGGGCAGCUCACAACAUGGCUGCUGGCUUCUCUUUAGAGAAAGUGAACGAAGAAAGCAUGCAAAGACAUAGAGCACCUGAAGCAAGCUAAGAUGUGAUGCCCCAUUGUUACGGAAUGUCAAGAGGGAAGCAGGCAGCACUAGUAGCCUUCUUACAGGAGCUCUGGUCCCUUGGUAGAUAUUUAUUUAUUAAAUGAUCAUCAGAGAACACUGCUCCUACUGACUACCAUCUUCAAACAGUUUCUCAUCCCCCAUCCCACCUCAUUUUUCUCUUUGUGGAUACUGUUUACAAUGAGAAUUUUAAAAUGUAUUUAAACCUCGGCCAAUCGAGAAUAUUGCUGUUGUUGU